rnacentral:rRNA from 1 species
UACAGAGGGUGCGAGCGUUAAUCGGAAUUACUGGGCGUAAAGCGUGCGUAGACGGUUAUUUAAGUCGGGUGUGAAAGCCCCGGGCUCAACCUGGGAGUUGCAUUCGAGACUGAAUAGCUAGGGUACGGUAGAGGGAAGCGGAAUUUCCGGUGUAGCGGUGAAAUGCGUAGAUAUCGGGAGGAACACCGGUGGCGAAGGCGGAUCUCUGGGCCUUACCUGACGCUGAGGCGCGAAAGCUAGGGGAGCGAACAGG